rnacentral:rRNA from 1 species
AACGCGAAGAACCUUACCUGGACUUGACAUGCAGUGGACCGCUUCAGAAAUGAAGCCUUCCUUCGGGACCGCUGCACAGGUGCUGCAUGGCUGUCGUCAGCUCGUGCCGUGAGGUGUUGGGUUAAGUCCCGCAACGAGCGCAACCCUUGUCGUUAGUUGCCAACAGUUCGGCUGGGAACUCUAACGAGACUGCCCGGGUUAACCGGGAGGAAGGUGAGGAUGACGUCAAGUCAGCAUGGCCCUUAUGUCCAGGGCUACACACGUGCUACAAUGGUCGGUACAGAGGGCAGCGAAAUCGAGAGAUCAAGCAAAUCCCAAAAAGCCGGCCCCAGUUCGGAUUGUAGUCUGCAACUCGACUACAUGAAGUCGGAAUUGCUAGUAAUGGCGUGUCAGCAACAGCGCCGUGAAUACGUUCCCGGGCCUUGUACACACCGACUGUAC